CAGUACCAUCAGUACAACCCUCUGCCGCAAGAUCGGCAGACAGAAAAGAUGAAUUCGCCAAUAUUUUAGCGUGCCAUAAUUAUGGUUGGCUUAUCUUCUCGCGCUACGCCUCGACCUAAUUAUGUCAUGGGUUGAGCGCCACCCCUUAUGGGAGACUUUCAAAAUACUUUGCCUUGACCUGUUAUGAGAUCCGCACAAGAAGGAAGAAUCUUCAGAUGCUAAAGUUUGCGACAAGAGCACUUUUUUGACUCGAACGGGAGGUCGAUGCACUCUAGUUCGGCAGUCAGAGAUUGCAAAUUCUUAAGAGAUGCUUCGGCUAAACUCGCACAAUUAUUGCAAUUGUAAUGUUGCUCGAGUUCUAGAGAACCGAAGUUGUUCUAAUUGCACCUCUACUGAGGGUUCUAGAACUUCGACUCGGUCACUUUUACCCUGAUCGUGGAGGAAGCAGGAGUGGUCGAAGGACCGUUUGGAAUCGUUUUUUUGGAAAGCUCGCGGCUAGGUAGAGUUAGGAGUAGGGUAGUGGCGGAACCGUUUGAAACCCUGAUACUCCAGGUGGCAACCGGCAUCAUCCGUAGCAGAGCGACCACUCCAACCGACAACCCAGCGCUUCUGGACUCCACCAAGGGGUCGAAGUUCCGGGUGAACCCCAAGCAGCUCGUCCGUCAACACACGAGCUGGGCGGCGUCCGUCAACACACGCCGCGGUCGAACCCUCGACAACCAACCGACCGGACCGGGACGGCCUCGUGGAGGCCUAGGUCCACCGCCAAGUUCCCGCGCGCACCCGCGCCGUCGUCGCAACCGACGCUAUCAUCGCAGCAUCCUAGCUGCACGCCUGUGCGCCCCGCACACCGGAAGUGAUGCUGAACACACGCCGAUAGU
rnacentral:lncRNA from 1 species